rnacentral:rRNA from 1 species
GUCAGCGACUUAUAUUCUGUAGCAAGGUUAACCGUAUAGGGGAGCCGAAGGGAAAACCGAGUCUUAACUGGGCGUUAAGUUGCAGGGUAUAGACCCGAAACCCGGUGAUCUAGCCAUGGGCAGGUUGAAGGUUGGGUAACACUAACUGGAGGACCGAACCGACUAAUGUUGAAAAAUUAGCGGAUGACUUGUGGCUGGGGGUGAAAGGCCAAUCAAACCGGGAGAUAGCUGGUUCUCCCCGAAAGCUAUUUAGGUAGCGCCUCGUGAACUCAUCUUCGGGGGGUAGAGCACUGUUUCGGCUAGGGGGUCAUCCCGACUUACCAACCCGAUGCAAACUACGAAUACCGAAGAAUGUUAUCACGGGAGACACACGGCGGGUGCUAACGUCCGUCGUGAAGAGGGAAACAACCCAGACCGCCAGCUAAGGUCCCAAAGUCACAGUUAAGUGGGAAACGAUGUGGGAAGGCUCAGGACAGCCAGGAUGUUGGCUUAGAAGCAGCCAUCAUUUAAAGAAAGCGUAAUAGCUCACUGGUCGAGUCGGCCUGCGCGGAAGAUGUAACGGGGCUAAACUGUGCACCGAAGCUGCGGCAGCGACACUAUGUGUUGUUGGGUAGGGGAGCGUUCUGUAAGCCGUUGAAGGUGGCCUGUGAGGGUUGCUGGAGGUAUCAGAAGUGCGAAUGCUGACAUAAGUAACGAUAAUGCGGGUGAAAAACCCGCACGCCGGAAGACCAAGGGUUCCUGGUCCAACGUUAAUCGGGGCAGGGUGAGUCGACCCCUAAGGCGAGGCCGAAAGGCGUAGUCGAUGGGAAACAGGUUAAUAUUCCUGUACUUGGUGUUACUGCGAAGGGGGGACGGAGAAGGCUAUGUUAGCCGGGCGACGGUUGUCCCGGUUUAAGCAUGUAGGCGGAGAGUUUAGGUAAAUCCGGACUCUUACUAACGCUGAGGUGUGAUGACGAGGCACUACGGUGCUGAAGUAACAAAUGCCCUGCUUCCAGGAAAAGCCUCUAAGCAUCAGGUAACAUCAAAUCGUACCCCCAAACCGACACAGGUGGUCAGGUAGAGAAUACCAAGGCGCUUGAGAGAACUCGGGUGAAGGAACUAGGCAAAAUGGUGCCGUAACUUCGGGAGAAGGCACGCUGAUAUGUAGGUGAAGUGAUUUACUCAUGGAGCUGAAAUCAGUCGAAGAUACCAGCUGGCUGCAACUGUUUAUUAAAAACACAGCACUGUGCAAACACGAAAGUGGACGUAUACGGUGUGACGCCUGCCCGGUGCCGGAAGGUUAAUUGAUGGGGUUAGCGGCAACGCGAAGCUCUUGAUCGAAGCCCCGGUAAACGGCGGCCGUAACUAUAACGGUCCUAAGGUAGCGAAAUUCCUUGUCGGGUAAGUUCCGACCUGCACGAAUGGCGUAAUGAUGGCCAGGCUGUCUCCACCCGAGACUCAGUGAAAUUGAACUCGCUGUGAAGAUGCAGUGUACCCGCGGCAAGACGGAAAGACCCCGUGAACCUUUACUAUAGCUUGACACUGAACACUGGUCCUUGAUGUGUAGGAUAGGUGGGAGGCUUUGAAGUGUGGACGCCAGUCUGCAUGGAGCCAACCUUGAAAUACCACCCUUUAAUGGCUGGUGUUCUAACGUAGACCCGUAAUCCGGGUUGCGGACAGUGUCUGGUGGGUAGUUUGACUGGGGCGGUCUCCUCCUAAAGAGUAACGGAGGAGCACGAAGGUUAGCUAAUCCUGGUCGGACAUCAGGAGGUUAGUGCAAUGGCAUAAGCUAGCUUGACUGCGAGAGUGACGGCUCGAGCAGGUGCGAAAGCAGGUCAUAGUGAUCCGGUGGUUCUGAAUGGAAGGGCCAUCGCUCAACGGAUAAAAGGUACUCCGGGGAUAACAGGCUGAUACCGCCCAAGAGUUCAUAUCGACGGCGGUGUUUGGCACCUCGAUGUCGGCUCAUCACAUCCUGGGGCUGAAGUAGGUCCCAAGGGUAUGGCUGUUCGCCAUUUAAAGUGGUACGCGAGCUGGGUUUAGAACGUCGUGAGACAGUUCGGUCCCUAUCUGCCGUGGGCGCUGGAGAAUUGAGGGGGGCUGCUCCUAGUACGAGAGGACCGGAGUGGACGCAUCACUGGUGUUCGGGUUGUCAUGCCAAUGGCAUUGCCCGGUAGCUAAAUGCGGAAAAGAUAAGUGCUGAAAGCAUCUAAGCACGAAACUUGCCCCGAGAUGAGUUCUCCCUGACCCUUUAAGGGUCCUGAAGGAACGUUGAAGACGACGACGUUGAUAGGCUGGGUGUGUAAGCGUAGCGAUACGUUGAGCUAACCAGUACUAAUGAACCGUGAGGCUUAACCUU